GUUUUUGAUUUUUCUUCUUCUU
rnacentral:sRNA from 1 species